UCUUCUCAAGUGUUCAUAGCGACGUUACUUUUUGAUCCUUCGAUGUCGACUUUUCCUAUCAUACUGAAGCAGAAUUCAGUAAGCGUUAGAUUGUUCACCCAUUGAUAGAGAACAUGAACUGGGCUUAGACUAUUCGACGCGCAGCGGGCUAAAGGGGUAGUU
rnacentral:ncRNA from 1 species